ensembl:lncRNA
ACGGAGGGGGUCAGUCGUUGGGAUGCGCAUGCGCAGACAGAGUGUGCGAGCGGCGGGCCUUGACCUUUUGGGGGAAAAAAACUCACGGACGGUGACAGCGAAACGGAUAACAGUCUUCAGUACCUGCUGGACUUUGAAGCUGUGGAUUCUGGGACUGUUAGAAAAGCUCCAACAAAAUGAGGAAGAGGAGAAACACAAUUAGGUUGAAUUACAAUUGGAUGGAAGGCGAGGACAAGGAGAAGGAAGCUUAGGAUGAGGAGGAAGAGAAGCAGCAGGAGCAUCUUUAGGGAUCCCUAUGAUGUCAUUGAGAGGCGGCGGCGAGAGGGGAGACCUCUGCUCAUCCAGCUGGAGAGCCUGACCAGGAGGAGUCGAACAUUAACUCAGCUCUUUCAGGGCACCCUGCAGACUCGGCUGUUGGCAUCGACGAGGGAUGACGUGAACGCCAAACUGGAGUCCAUCACAGGUCAACUGCAGCUCCUUGUCUCAGAGUGGGAGGGGUUUGAAGCACAAAGGGAGGAACUUGUCGUUUGGUUGGCUGAUAUGGAUGUGAGGUUGACCAGCUGACAGGAAACACCAGUGAAAAACUGAAACAACUGCAGGUGUGGGCUUGUUUUGAUAUGACAUAUAUUUGAUAUGAUACAUACAUCAGAGACAUUGUCCUAAACUGGACUAACAAAGGACAAUGAGUACAACAUGAAACGUCCAUUACAUAGCGUAAGGCUGUAGUUCAUUGAUCAUUUUAAUCAUAAACUUGUUGAAAUGUUUUUACUGAACAUGCAAACAUCUGCUGAUGAAAAUGUGUUGAUUUAUUGGUCUGUUAUGAAGCUAUUUGUAACCCAGUUCCUAAAAUCAUCUCAAACAGAAAGAGAAGAAAAAUUAAAACAUUUAAUGUUCAUUGUUCUGUUCUUACUGUCCCGGUUAAUGAAAGUGAAAUGAGAUCAAAAUAAUUAUUUAAACAUAGAAGGGAUGCAGAUUAUAUAUGAUAUGCUCUGGUCAAACAAGGGUUAAGUUUCUCAGAGGGUUGAUGAGCUCUGAUGAGAGCCUAUUGUUUUACUCCACUCCUCACAUGUCAGCCAAUCGGUGAAGCUCUAGGCAGCUCUUGUCCCUCCUUAGUACCAGCUCCCAAGUUUUCAGUCUCUUGCUUCUACAGCCGAACAGAGCAGACGGACUAAAACUUUUGUUAUCGGUAAGCUGGAGAAAUUAACCUCUAACGAGUUAAAAGAAAUACCAUCUAAACUGAUAUUUUUCACAAAUUAUGUAUUUGCACUUGUUGUUGUCAAGGGCAGAGCGAAACCGGAGGGUUUACUGAGCUGUGGCUCCAUGUAAAUGCUGAGCAUCCACUCGACGGCGGUAAGCUAAAUGUGGCUAAUCAGACACGUGAUGUGCGGAGUGUGGGUACAGUUGUUGCAUGUCUCUGAAACGCUGUUGUUAUGCUAGUUAGAUCGUUAACUAAGUCAUUAACAUGUGAAAAGCUGUAAAUGGUUAAAGCAGCUAAAAAUAACUUUAUGAGAGAUAAUUGUAAUCAGACUUUAUCCUGCUUCCUGUUUAAAUUUUGAUGUCAAUCAGUUUUACAAUACUCAGUAUUGAACACUUGGAGGUAAUUUUUAGUGUAUUUCCACUUGUACUGGUAGGCCUAUGGUACAAGCGGGAUUAAGCACGUCUAUUUUAAUACUCCUAUUUGUGGACUGAGUCCUUGUGUUUACGUGUUAUUGAAAUUGAUUAUUUGCACUUUGUUCAAUUUCUGAUAAGCAUUUGCAUAUUAUUCCAUUUCUUAAAAGGGGUAAUAUACUUAUUUAUUUGUGAUUAGAUAUAUAUGUACAGUGAGUUUAUUUUGAUCGAUGUAAUUAAUGUUUACAAUGAAAGUGAAUUAUAUGGUGACUAUAAUUCCUGCAUGUUUGCAACCUUGUAGAUAAUCUUUAAUGUUACUGCAGGUUACAAAUAAUUGAACCUUGAUACUGUGAAAUUUUGGAUAUUGAUACUUUGACCUUUGAAACUUGAUAUUUUAAUGUUGUACAACAUGACUGAACUGAUGAUGAUUGAAUUGAUGAUAGCUGAUCUGAAUAGUAGUUACUGCACUGUGACACUACUUUAGUUUAAUUUGUGAGAGUUAUCCUUAAAGGGCACGUGACAUAUAUUUGGCCAUUGUUUAUAGGUCAGGUUUUUAUAUGGGACGAAUCCAAAGACCAGGUCAGCGAUUCCAGAACCCAGAGUGUUCCAGUGUUCACUGGAUGGCGAGCCAACCCAAGAUCCUAGGAGGCGAUAUACAUAUACACGCACGAUCAUUUGCACAUUGAUGGACUACAAUCCUCUACUGUACAAGUAGUACGGUAGGACAGACAAUCACACACACACACUCCUUGUCAGACGAAUUCUAUGGGCCCCACCGGUACCAUUUGGACUUAAAAAAGACUAAUUCUUUUACUUGUGCACAAUUUUAUUUAAUUCUAUUUUUUUUUUGCUACUUUGGGGGAAAUUUUUAUACUUGACAUUCUGUUAAAACCUGUUGUAAUACUGUGUUGUUUACAAAUUUCUUUUACAAGGCUUAACAUCACUAAAGUACUUUUAAAGCCA